GACAGCGUGGCCGAGCGGUCUAAGGCGCCAGACUCAAGUGCAAACUUACCUGCCUUAAGCGGGUCUGAGUCUUCUGGUCAGUGAAUACUGGCGUGGGUUCGAAUCCCACCGCUGUCA
rnacentral:tRNA from 1 species